UCAUUGAACUCUUUUUUUUUUUUUUAAGAUUUAUUUAUUUAUUUAUUUAUUUAUUUAUUUAUUUAUUUAAAGUGCACUGUAGCUGUCCUCAGACAUUCCAGAAGAGGGAGGCAGAUCUUGUUACAGAUGGUUGUGAGCCACCAUGUGGUUGCAGUCCGGUGCUCUUACCCACUGAGCCAUCCUGCCAGCCCUCUCAUUGAACUCUUAAGACUUGAGAAGUUUCUGUAGGAGGAAGAGAGACUCUGAGAAAAGCUCUGUCUCUUGCUUCCCAGGACGCCUGGUGGAUUUAGAAUCAGGAGUUCCUGGGAGGCUGGAUCAAGGUCUCUGAGAACUAGAAGGAAAAGGGAAGACAUGUGGGCAGGACACCUGGAUGCAGAGUUGUUAGUCUGCACAUCUACCCAGUAGCACAAUGUCGGAGGCAAUGCUAUGAGGCCUUUUUGGUUUUUUUUUUUUGGUUUUUGAGACAGGGUUUCUCUGUAUAGCUCUGGCUGUCCUGGAACUCACUUUGUAGACCAGGCUGGCCUCAAACUCAGAAAUCCACCUGCCUCUGCCUCCCGAGUGCUGGGAAGUGCCCAGCCAAAGUCAUUCUUUACCAGAAUUUUAACGACUUUCUUGGGAAAAGUCACUUCAUGAAUAUUAGUUCCUCUCAGGACAUAAAAUAAUACAUACUGAUAACUAAUGUGCUUACCAAAUGCUGACCCUUUUUUUAAGGUGGACUGUUGAUGUUUGAGCCAGCGUUUUUUUUUUUUGGGUUUUUUUGUUUUUUUUGUUUUUUUAAGAUGGGUUCUCAUUAUAUAGCUGUGACUGGGUAGCCUGGAAUGAGCUAUGUAGUAAAAGCUGGCCUUAGACUCCAAGAUCUGCAUGCUUCAGCCUCGUGAGUGCUUAGUUUUGUAGGCAUGUGUGGUCAGUUUAAAAUUAGACACAGUAGCACGUGUGGUUCCAGCACCUAGGAGGUGGAAGCCGAAGAACAUGGCUACCCUGAGCUACAUAGCAAGACCCUGGACUGAGGAUAUGGCUUUAAAAAUAAACAACACUCCAAAGGUUUGGGAAUAUAGCUCAACAGUAGAACUACUUUUUCAAAAAAUAUGGAUGCCUGUAUAUAUAUAUAUAAUGUCUGUCCAGAUGCCCUCAGGGGCCAGAAGAGGGCACCAAGUUUCCUGGAGCUAGCUUUACAGGAGGCGGAGAGCUGUUGGGUGUGGGAACUGAACCCACAUCCUCUGGAACAGCAGCAGUAUAUGCUGUUAGCCACUGAGUCUUCUCUCUAGCCGCUCCAUGGUAAAACGAUUGUCUACCACGUACAAGGCCCUGGGUUUGAGCCUCAGUACCAUGAUAGCAGUUUAGACUGGCUUUUCCCUGAUUCCUCAAUCAGAAAACAUUUGCAAUAUAGCUCUUUUAAUGGCUUGCCUAGAACAGUUUAUCUAUAGUAGCCAUAUAAGAGAACAAUUUUAAAUGAGUUUUUCUCAGUGGGAGCUGUCUCCCCACCUAAUGGCAGGCUUGCGUUUGGAUCUCCUUCACCUUGUUCCACCUUGGGAUCAAUUUGUGUACGUUGCUUUGCUAUGUGUUUAGUGGGUUUCCUUCUGUGUGGCUCAGGCUGGCCUGGAACUUGAGAGAUCCUCCUGCCUCACUCUUUCCAGUGCUGACAUCGAAGGUGUGUGCUACCAUGCCUGCCUGGUUCAGUAGAGUUUUUUGCUAUUGUUGUGUUUGGUUGGUUGGUUGGUUUUUAGCCUCUUUACCAUCUUAAGAAUCUAGUUGAGGGUACAUUGAGAUCUUGUCCAGUCUCCAAGUUAGCUGCUCUCAGCUGAGUGCCUUGAGAAAGUCACCCUGGACCUUCUUUACCUCGCCAGUGCAAGGUGCACAGUGCUAGUUGCUGUAGACUUCAAGGGGUUGCCAUGAGAAGCCAUCAGAGUAGAAAUGUUGCUCAGUUUGGUGGAACACCCCUGUAAUCCCAGCACUUUUUCGGCAGAGGCAGGACAAUCUGGGGCCAGGCUAGGCUAUGUGAAGAUCCUGAGCAGGGGUUAGAGAGAUGGCUCAGCAGUUGAGAGCAGUUGUUUCUUGCAGAGGACCUGGAUUUGGUUCCCAGCACCAUGAUGGCUCACAAUCACCUGUAACUCCAGUUCCAGGAGGCUCUGACCCCUUCUGCAGACCUCCACAGGCACCAUGUAUGCAUGUGGUACACAGAUACACAUUUAGGAAAAAUACG
rnacentral:lncRNA from 1 species